rnacentral:rRNA from 1 species
GAUGAACGCUAGCGGCAGGCUUAACACAUGCAAGUCGAGGGGUAACAGGGAGUGCUUGCACUCCGCUGACGACCGGCGCACGGGUGCGUAACGCGUAUGCAACCUACCUUUUACAGGGGGAUAGUCAAGAGAAAUUUUGAAUAAUACCCCAUACGAUCCUGAUAUCACCUGAUAUUUGGAAGAAAACUUCGGUGGUAAAAGAUGGGCAUGCGUCCUAUUAGUUAGUUGGUGAGGUAACGGCUCACCAAGACAGCGAUAGGUAGGGGUCCUGAGAGGGAGAUCCCCCACACUGGUACUGAGACACGGACCAGACUCCUACGGGAGGCAGCAGUGAGGAAUAUUGGACAAUGGAGGCAACUCUGAUCCAGCCAUGCCGCGUGCAGGAAGACUGCCCUAUGGGUUGUAAACUGCUUUUAUACAGGAAGAAACCUACUUACGUGUAAGUAGCUGACGGUACUGUACGAAUAAGGAUCGGCUAACUCCGUGCCAGCCGCCGCCGUAACAC